CCUACGGGUGGCAGCAGUGGGGAAUAUUGGACAAUGGGCGAAAGCCUGAUCCAGCCAUGCCGCGUGUGUGAAGAAGGCCUUCGGGUUGUAAAGCACUUUCAGUGGGGAAGAAAGCCUUGGGGCUAAUACCCUCGAGGAAGGACAUCACCCACAGAAGAAGCACCGGCUAACUCCGUGCCAGCAGCCGCGGUAAUACGGAGGGUGCGAGCGUUAAUCGGAAUUACUGGGCGUAAAGCGCGCGUAGGCGGUCUGAUAAGCCGGUUGUGAAAGCCCCGGGCUCAACCUGGGAACGGCAUCCGGAACUGUCAGGCUAGAGUGCAGGAGAGGAAGGUAGAAUUCCCGGUGUAGCGGUGAAAUGCGUAGAGAUCGGGAGGAAUACCAGCGGCGAAGGCGGCCUUCUGGACUGACACUGACGCUGAGGUGCGAAAGCGUGGGUAGCAAACAGGAUUAGAUACCCCUGUAGUC
rnacentral:rRNA from 1 species